AACGCACAUUGCGCCCUUUGGCAUUCCGAAGGGCAUGCCUGUUCGAGCGUCAUUGCAACCCCUCCAGCAGCCUCUUGCUGGGCGUUGGGCGUCUUUGUGGCUGCGGCCACUCGCCUGAAAAGCAUCGGCGCCGGCGCGUCGGCCCUGCGCGUAGCACAUUGUUCGCGCCUGGGACCCCGUCGCGGCGGCCGCCGUCAACGCAGCGCAGCACGCACUGCUGCCUCCAUGACUUGACCUCGGAUCAGGUAGGGAUACCCGCUGAACUUAA
rnacentral:misc_RNA from 2 species